UUGUCCUCCUCCUUUCUCGGUUUGUCCCUCUCCACCUUAGAGUGUUCUCGGUUUCUCCCUCUCGGUCCAGAACUCCAGAUCAGUGCGAGAAGUUCUGGGAUGAAGCUAGAAAUCUGAAUCCAAUCUCCGUUUCUCCCUUUCCUCGAUUCCAUUCCUCCCGCUUAGACAAAGCCUCAAGGAGGUGAAGUGGUUGCUGGAGAAGGCAGAACCGUUGGCUUCUAGUCUUCUAAGUCUCAAUCAAGGGAACACUGCUACUGCCCACUUCGACUAGCUCUGUGAAGCAGUGGUUGAAGAAAUCUUGUAUUCCUUAAGCUUUGUAAAUGAUAAAUUGAAACAGUGGUGAGCCUUUCAGAUGAAAGUCAGCUUGUGGGUUGUUAGGACACUUUGUUGUAUCAAAGAAGCCUGGAGAUGGUAAGCGGUUCCUCCGCUCACUUGGGAAGGAGAGGCAUGAACUUGCUGAGAGAGUAAUGGUCACACGGCUUCAUCUCUAUGGUAAAUGGGUCAAGAAAUGUAAUCACGUUGAAGCAAGAGCAUUUGUUUUGGGGCCUCAAAUUUUUUUUCGCCUUGAGCCUCUGAACUCACCGGGCCGACCCGAACGAGAUCACAAAAUUAAUAUAUCU